GGACACAGCCUGGAGGGCCCUCUGGCACCUACAGCAACACUCCCACAACUAGGCGAGCACUGAACGAAGACCAUGGCCUUCACAGGGCGGCAAGAGGAGGGAGCGUGCUCCAGAAGGCGACAGCCACCUUGGAAAUCAGCACCCCGAUGUCCGCAUUGCGCUCCUGAAAAUGAUACGCUGGACAGUGAUUUUUGGGCACACCAAGGUCUGACCUGAUGGAGGAAGGAGGAUGGCCACAAGCAAAUGCAGACACGUAUAGGGGCUUGAAGAACACAUGUGGGCUCUGGGACCACUAGUUAUCUUCCUCCCUUGUCAUCAGAUCUGAAAAUCUCCUGCCGUGCACCAGAAAGCCUCUGUAAGUUAAAGGGGAAGAGCAUGCCCCAGCGCAGCACUACCCCAGAUUUUUCCAUGCUAGGGCAAAAGCAUGAACAGUAGUUUAGAUGUCACGGGGAAAAAAAUUAAAUUAAAUUAAAACUAUAUAUCUAUCUUUGCUUUAAUUUUUUUUUUCCUCCAGAA
rnacentral:lncRNA from 1 species